CAUUACCUAGAGUUGUAGGCUUUGCCUGCUAUCUCUUACCCAUGUCUUUUGAGUACUUACGUUUCCUCGGUGGGUUCGCCCGCCGAAGACAAUCUAUAAACCUUUGCAGUUGCAAUCAGCGUCUGAAAAAAACAUAAUAAUUACAACUUUCAACAACGGAUCUCUUGGUUCUGGCAUCGAUGAAGAACGCAGCGAAAUGCGAUAAGUAGUGUGAAUUGCAGAAUUCAGUGAAUCAUCGAAUCUUUGAACGCACAUUGCGCCCCUUGGUAUUCCAUGGGGCAUGCCUGUUCGAGCGUCAUUUGUACCUUCAAGCUUUGCUUGGUGUUGGGUGUUUGUCUUGCCUUUGCGUGUAGACUCGCCUUAAAACAAUUGGCAGCCGGCGUGUUGAUUUCGGAGCGCAGUACAUCUCGCGCUUUGCACUCAUAACGACGACGUCCAAAAGUACAUUUUUACACUCUUGACC
rnacentral:rRNA from 1 species